CAAAUGGACAACUUGCAUGUUACACUAAAUUUUAAUCUAAGUAAAGAGAAGGGAAUCAAACACAACAGUUAAAAAGAACAUAAUGAAAUAGUAAAAUUGCAAAAUUUGGUUGCGAAAUGUUGUAAAAUACAGAAAAUAUAGCCUCGCGAAGUUUGCAUAUUUUCAGUAUAUUUGUAUUACGUGCGGAAAUUGUUACCAUUUUCGGCUCAAAAAUGG
rnacentral:lncRNA from 1 species